UGGAGGAGGACUUUUUCUUCAGG
rnacentral:piRNA from 1 species